GACUGUGAGGGCGAUCUGGCUGCGACAUCUGUCACCCCAUUGAUCACCAGGGUUGAUUCGGCUGAUCUGGCUGGCUAGGCGGGUGUCCCCCUCCUCCCUCACAGAUCCAUGUGCGUCCCUCCUGAAGCUGAGUGCUCAGUCAAAGAGGAUGACCUUCCCCUCAGAUGAAAGGACUAGUUUAUGGUCAAGGGGAUACAAGUAGCUGCGCUCCCCUGCUAGAACCUUCAAACAAGCUCUCAUAAAUAAGUUGAAUUUCUUCUAAGAAUACACAUUUGAUAAGACUUUAAAAGCAAGUCAUGGCAUU
ensembl:misc_RNA 7SK 7SK RNA